GUAUGGGAGGGCAAUCUGGCUGUAACAUCUGUUACCUCGCUGAUCACCAGGGUUGAUUUGGUUGAUCUGGCUGCCUAGGCAAGUGUCCUUUUCCUCUCUCAAUGUUUCAUAUGUGACCACCCCAAUAGAGAAGAACCAUUCCUUGUCAUAAGUAGCUGCUAGAACCUCCGAACUCUUUAGACAUGACUCCUGUUCAUCAUUCAUCUGGAGAAAAAUUAUAAUAUCUAUUUUAUAAGAAUAUUAUGAGGCUUACAAGAGAGAAAGCAGAUAAAAGCUCAGUAUGAGGCUGGUAACAGCAAAUCUU
ensembl:misc_RNA 7SK 7SK RNA